rnacentral:rRNA from 1 species
GACGAACGCUGGCGGCGUGCUUAACACAUGCAAGUCGAACGGAGAUUUUAGCAAUAGAAUCUUAGUGGCGAACGGGUGAGUAACGCGUAGGCAAUCUGCCUUCUAGAUGGGGACAACAUCCCGAAAGGGGUGCUAAUACCGAAUGUUGUAACGACUUCGCAUGAAGUUGUUACUAAAGGUGGCCUCUGAAUAUGCUACCGCUAGAAGAUGAGCCUGCGUCUGAUUAGCUAGUUGGAGGGGUAACGGCCCACCAAGGCUUCGAUCAGUAGCCGGUCUGAGAGGAUGAACGGCCACACUGGGACUGAGACACGGCCCAGACUCCUACGGGAGGCAGCAGUGGGGAAUCUUCCGCAAUGGACGAAAGUCUGACGGAGCAACGCCGCGUGAGUGAAGAAGGUUUUCGGAUCGUAAAGCUCUUUCGUUAGGGACGAACGUGCUCUUUGUGAAUAAUGAGGAGUAAUGACGGUACCUAAAUAAGAAGCCACGGCUAACUACGUGCCAGCCGCCGCAGUAA